CACACUCAGCUUGCGCAAGCACCAUCAUCGCACCCACGGUUUUAGUUAGCUCUCGGCCUUAUCUACGCAGGCUACGAUGGGAAAAGGGUCCGGUGAUGGGUCGGCCGCCUCGGGUUGGGGACAACGGUUGAAACGUGCAGUGGGCAUGGAAACGCCCGGCGGGGAAGCGGAUCAUCUACCCGACGACAGUUGCUACGAUAGGGUAGGGUGGGAUGGCGUCAGGAUACCACGCAUCAAAUGGGAAAAAGACCGCGGUGACUUCGCUGAGGUUGUCGCUUUGGCGCGUGUGGCACCGAAGAUGGUACAGGAGGCUACGGCGAAAAUGGUACGGAAGGCUAAGGCGAAAAUGGAAGAAGUGGCUAAAAAUAGACGGAGUUAAGUUAUACCUACUUUACUUGGGCUUAACAAAAAGUGAUACCUACUAGGCCAUGUGGGCCAAAUGUUUCCCGGUUUCCCACUUCCUGCGUGGAGUGCAUCCCGUCCGUGGACUAAGACUAGCCACAAUGGGUAGUAACAUAGGUAUGUUACUAGUCUAUGUUACUGCCUCUAUAGUGGG